ensembl:lncRNA
AACAAGUAUUGCUCCUAAUUAGACCAACUGAAAGCAGCACUUGAUGGAAAGCACCCAGAAAUAGUCAACAGAAAACACAUAAUCUUUUAUCAGGAUAAUGAUAUCAUAGGACCAUGUGUUUCUUUGGUGACAGGCAGAAAUCGUUACAGCUUGGCUGGGUAGUUCUGAUUCAUCCACCGUAUUCACCAGACACUGCACCUUCAGACUGCUCUUUAUUUCAGUCUUCACAAAAUUCUCUUAAUGCAGAGUAUUUCAAUUCCCUGGAAGACUGUAAAAGGAACCUGGAAUAGUUCUUUGCUCAAAAAGAUCAAAUGUCUUGGAAAGAUGGAAUUCUAAAGUUGCCUGGAAAAUGACAGAAGGUAGCGGAACAAAAUGGUGAAUACGUUGGUCAAUUAAAUUCUUGGUGAAAAUGAAAAAUGUGUCUUUUAUUUUUACUUGAAAAACAAGGAACUUUCCGGCCAGCCCAUAGAAGCCGCGCGGCGGCUCCUCCCAAGCGGUAGGUCUUGUGUCAAUCAUGCCCGGAGGCUCCACCCCAGAGGAGGAGGAGCCAGAGGAGCCAGGAGCCACCCGCUGGCUUUGAGAACCUGUCCCAUUCUCGCCUUCGCCCCCACAAGGCUUCUGGCUGGAGAGCAUGGUGGAGGCUGGGCUGCAGGGACCCACCGCUUCCUUGCCUGGUCCUCUUGGACAGAGUAUGGAGAGCUCUGUAAGUUGAAAAUAACUGAUGGCAAUGCAAAAUAACUGUUGUCUGCUGACAUGGAAAUGAUUCCUUCCAUUGAUGGACAACACCUACCCCUCCAUCCUAUGCAAAAGCCAAUUUUGUAUCCGUUUGCAUAUUCACUUCAACAUUCCUUACUCCAUAAGAAUUUGUGCUUCUUUGCCUUCUCCCUUGAACCAGUUGCUUAUCUCUUUGGUUUACUCAGUGAGUUAAAUAAAAUCUUUACCUUGUAUUCAUUU